CCCUGUAUUCGAAAGUGAUCAUGGGCUGCCUGUGUCCUGGUCAUUGGUAGUGCAGGGAGAGGAACCACUGAAAGCGUAUCCCCGUGUUUGGAGGGUCCACUUCUGUCCUUGCCAAACCCUGGAGCUUUCCCACA
ensembl:snoRNA SNORA71 Small nucleolar RNA SNORA71